UACGUAGGGUGCGAGCGUUAAUCGGAAUUAUUGGGCGUAAAGCGCGCGUAGGCGGCUUUGCAAGUCGGGUGUGAAAGCCCUCAGCUCAACUGUGGAACUGCAUUUGAAACUGCCGAGCUAGAGUAUGAGAGGGGUUAAGGGAAUUCCCGGUGUAAGGGUGAAAUCUGCAGAGAUCGGGAGGAACACCAGUCGCGAAGGCGCUUAACUGGCUCAUUACUGACGCUCAGGGACGAAAGCUAGGGUAGCAAACGGG
rnacentral:rRNA from 1 species